GACGAACGCUGGCGGCGUGCUUAACACAUGCAAGUCGAACGGAAAGGCCCUGCUUUUGUGGGGUGCUCGAGUGGCGAACGGGUGAGUGACACGUGAGUAACCUGCCCUUGACUUUGGGAUAACUUCAGGAAACUGGGGCUAAUACCGGAUAGGAGCUCCUGCUGCAUGGUGGGGGUUGGAAAGUUUCGGCGGUUGGGGAUGGACUCGCGGCUUAUCAGCUUGUUGGUGGGGUAGUGGCUUACCAAGGCUUUGACGGGUAGCCGGCCUGAGAGGGUGACCGGCGACAUUGGGACUGCGAUACGGCCCAGACUCCUACGGGAGGCAGCAGUGGGGAAUAUUGCACAAUGGGCGGAAGCCUGAUGCAGCAACGCCGCGUGCGGGAUGACGGCCUUCGGGUCGUAAACCGCUUUCGCCUGUGACGAAGCGUGAGUGACGGUAAUGGGUAAAGAAGCACCGGCUAACUACGUG
rnacentral:rRNA from 1 species